CCCAUUUGACUUUGUCGUGUUGACGGGCCUUGACGUGGGAGGCUGGGCGAUCCCUUACGAUGAGGAUAUGGGCGAGUGGGAGGCAGCUUGGAUUCAUCUGUUGGGAGCUCGCCCACCGGUAGACCGAUCUUCGGGCUGAGUCCGAUAUACCUAGUUUUCUGCACAGUUAAGGGGGACUGAGCCCGAGACUCCUGAGGAGAUUGCACAGUACACUUGCGGGUUUUUGAUGUUCCUCUUCGGGACCACUCUGUUCGCCGACAGGGGGAACACCGUUGGGCUAUAUUUGCUGAGUGCCUUGGUAGACCUCACACAGGUUAGUCAGUAUGACUGGGGUGGCGCCAGCUUGGCUACCCUCUAUUGCUAUAUGAGUGCGACCUCCCGCGGACAGGGGAACAUAGUCGGCAGCUAUUAGAGAGCCUGAGAGUUAUGGGUCUUCGCGUGCUUUCCGACGCUAGCCCCAGAGCUCGAGGUGGAGGCCCCUCUCAUGACCCUUUAUUCGCUCGUCUUCGAGGGCCAGUACCGAUCGCGGCCCCGGGAGACUCUCUCUUACCUAUGGCAGUAUUUUGACACUGUGUGGGCGACCGAGAUCUUAUGGCAGCCCUGGGUGCCUUUGGGUGAGGAUCUCCGAUUCCAGUUUGCCGGA